GACCACUACGGUGGGGUUAGACCACUACGGUGGGGUUGAUGUCUGGGUGAGGAGGUCACUAGACCACUACGGUGGGGUUGAUGUCUGGGUGAGGAGGUCACUAAACCACUACGGUGGGAUUAGACCACUACGGUGGGAUUAGACCACUACGGUGGGGUUGAUGUCUGGGUGAGGAGGUCACUAGACCACUACGGUGGGAUUAGACCACUACGGUGGGGUUGAUGUCUGGGUGAGGAGGUCACUAGACCACUACGGUGGGGUUAGACCACUACGGUGGGGUUAGACCACUACGGUGGGGUUGAUGUCUGGGUGAGGAGGUCACUAGACCACUACGGUGGGGUUAGACCACUACGGUGGGGUUAGACCACUACGGUGGGGUUGAUGUCUGGGUGAGGAGGUCACUAAACCACUACGGUGGGGUUGAUGUCUGGGUGAGGAGGUCACUAAACCACUACGGUGGGGUUGAUGUCUGGGUGAGGAGGUCACUAAACCACUACGGUGGGGUUAGACCACUACGGUGGGGUUGAUGUCUGGGUGAGGAGGUCACUAAACCACUACGGUGGGGUUGAUGUCUGGGUGAGGAGGUCACUAAACCACUACGGUGGGGUUGAUGUCUGGGUGAGGAGGUCACUAAACCACUACGGUGGGGUUGAUGUCUGGGUGAGGAGGUCACUAGACCACUACGGUGGGGUUAGACCACUACGGUGGGGUUAGACCACUACGGUGGGGUUGCUGUAUGUCUGGUGUUUAUCUUAGCGGUUCAAAUCACACUUCUUAGGUGCUCCUUUUUAGUAUGUAGUCGUCAGAAGUGUCUUCACUAACUUUUCCCCCAAGAUACUGUCCCAUCCCUCUCUCCCAUCCCCCUUUGACAAAUACCCUCUCCCUUUGACGAGUACCCUCUCACUCCCCAUCUUUGACGAAUACCCUCUCCCUUUGACGAAUACCCUCUCACUCCUCGUCUUUGUCGAAUACCGUCUCC